rnacentral:tRNA from 1 species
UGUCCUAUAGUAUAAUGGUAGUACAGAAGAUUCUGGUUCUUUUAGUCAGGGUUCGAAUCCUUGUGGGACAA